rnacentral:rRNA from 1 species
UACGUAGGGUGCAAGCGUUAAUCGGAAUACUGGGCGUAAAGCGUGCGCAGGCGGUGAUGUAAGACAGUUGUGAAAUCCCCGGGCUCAACCUGGGAACUGCAUCUGUGACUGCAUCGCUGGAGUGCGGCAGAGGGGAUGGAAUUCCGCGUGUAGCAGUGAAAUGCGUAGAUAUGCGGAGGAACACCGAUGGCGAAGGCAAUCCCCUGGGCCUGCACUGACGC